AGGGUUCGAUCCUGGCUCAGGACGAACGCUGGCGGCGUGCCUAACACAUGCAAGUCGAACGAAGCUCCUUUCACCAAGACUUCGGUCAAGGCGAAAGGAUGACUUAGUGGCGGACGGGUGAGUAACGCGUGAGCAACCUGCCCUUCGGAGGGGGACAACAGUUGGAAACGACUGCUAAUACCGCAUAACACAUAGCUAUCGCAUGGUAAUUAUGUCAAAGAUUUAUCGCCGAAGGAUGGGCUCGCGUCUGAUUAGAUAGUUGGUGAGGUAACGGCUCACCAAGUCGACGAUCAGUAGCCGGACUGAGAGGUUGAACGGCCACAUUGGGACUGAGAUACGGCCCAG
rnacentral:rRNA from 1 species